rnacentral:rRNA from 1 species
GCAGAUCUCCUUCGGGGGUGACGCUUGUGGAACGAGCGGCGGACGGGUGAGUAACACGUGGGCAACCUACCUGUAAGACUGGGAUAACCCCGGGAAACCGGGGCUAAUACCGGAUGAUACAUAUCGUCGCAUGACGAGAUGUUGAAAGGCGGCAUAUGCUGUCACUUACAGAUGGGCCCGCGGCGCAUUAGCUAGUUGGUGAGAUAAAAGCUCACCAAGGCGACGAUGCGUAGCCGACCUGAGAGGGUGAUCGGCCACACUGGGACUGAGACACGGCCCAGACUCCUACGGGAGGCAGCAGUAGGGAAUCUUCCGCAAUGGACGAAAGUCUGACGGAGCAACGCCGCGUGAGUGAUGAAGGUUUUCGGAUCGUAAAACUCUGUUGUUAGGGAAGAACAAGUGCCAUUCGAAUAGGUUGGCACCUUGACGGUACCUAACCAGAAAGCCCCGGCUAACUACGUGCCAGCAGCCGCGGUAAUACGUAGGGGGCAAGCGUUGUCCGGAAUUAUUGGGCGUAAAGCGCGCGCAGGCGGUCCUUUAAGUCUGAUGUGAAAGCCCACGGCUUAACCGUGGAGGGCCAUUGGAAACUGGGGGACUUGAGUACAGAAGAGGAGAGUGGAAUUCCACGUGUAGCGGUGAAAUGCGUAGAGAUGUGGAGGAACACCAGUGGCGAAGGCGACUCUCUGGUCUGUAACUGACGCUGA